rnacentral:rRNA from 1 species
GACGAACCGUGCGAACGUUGUUCGGAAUCACUGGGCUUAAAGGGCGCGUAGGCGGGCUGGUAAGUCAGGGGUGAAAGCCCACGGCCCGACCGUGGAAGUGCCUUUGAUACUGCCAGUCUCGAGGGAGGUAGGGGCGUGCGGAACUUCCGGUGGAGCGGUGAAAUGCGUAGAUAUCGGAAGGAACACCGGUGGCGAAAGCGGCGCGCUGGACCUCUUCUGACGCUGAGGCGCGAAAGCCAGGGGAGCAAACGGG